rnacentral:rRNA from 1 species
UGCGUAGGCGGCCUGGUAAGUUGGGUGUGAAAUCCCUCGGCUCAACCGAGGAAUUGCGCUCAAAACUGCCAGGCUUGAGGGAGACAGAGGCAAGCGGAACUCAGGGUGGAGCGGUGAAAUGCGUUGAUAUCCUGGGGAACACCAGUUGCGAAGGCGGCUUGCUGGGUCUCUUCUGACGCUGAGGCACGAAAGCUAGGGGAGCGAACAGGAUUAGAUACCCUGGUAGUCC